CGCAAAGGGGGCGGGGAGCCCGGGCUGGGUGCAGGCGGCGCCGCCUCGCCCCUGGGGGACCCGGGCCAGCGCCGGCUCUGCCCGUAUCGCUGGGGAGGCUGAUGGGCCGGGGGUGCCCCGCGCUGCGAUGCUCUGCGCGGGGGCUCUCUAGGCACUGGGCAGCCCCACGUGGCCCUUCCCCGCCAGGUCUGGAGGGAGAAGAAGCGCUGCGGUGUGUCGCUGCUGCUCGCUCCCCUGGCUCUGGGGGUCUGAUGGGCUUGGGGCGCCCGGCGUCCCUUCCCUGCGGCUGGGAGUAAAGCGAGCGGCGCUGCCCUCUGCCCACCCCGCGGCUGCUGGCACCGAAGCGGGGUCAGGGGCUUCUUCUCCCUUGUCUGAGCAGCAGAUUUUUCCCUCCCAGUGGAACCGCAAGCAUUGGCAGUAAGGAUGGAGGUUUUUUUUCUUUAAAGGGACAAUUUUGAACAACAGUAAAAUUAACAAAGGAGGCUGAAAGCGCCGGAAACGCAAGGAUUUCAAUAAAAAUGUACCACCAUACAUACAUUGUAUUGCCCUGAUGAAUUCUGUAGGCUUGAAGCAGCAAGAGCGGUUCCACAGCUUUUGUUUGGGGUGUUUUUGGGCUUUUGCUAUUACUGCCUUGCCCUGUUAACAAAGCAAAGGGGUAAAAAAAGCAACAUAUUAUAAGU